ACACACCAGAAGAGGGCAUCAGAUCCCACUACAGAUGGUUUUAAGCCACCAUGUGGUUGCUGGUAAUUGAACUCAGGACCUCUCGAAGAACAAUCUGUGCUCUUAACCACUGAGCCAUCUCUCCAGCCAACACCUGGUAUUUUUAUCUUUCAGGAUUGUGAUUUGGUUUGAAGGACUUUAGAUUUUUACAACAUUUGAGAUUUUAGGAUUUUAACACUUGAGAUUAUAGUGUAUUGUAUCAUAACCUUCAUUAUGUAAUGGGCACUAAUAAGUGAUGACUAUUUCUUUGGGUCUUUAUUUCUUUACAGGAGUCCACAAGUGACACACAAAAACAGUCUUAAAGAAAAACUCAGGACUGGGAAUGGUGGCACUCGUUUUUAAUCCCAGCACUCAUUUGAUCCCUGUCUAAAAUCAGCCAAACAACAGACAGACAGACAGACAGACACAUCGAAAGCAGAUUGUAGUGGCAUAUACCUUUAAUCCCAGCACUCUGGAGCCAGAGGUAAGCAGAGGUGUGACUUACAGGCCAACCUGGUCUACAUGGUGAGCUCCAAGCCAGUCUGUCAUGAGGGAAACAAUGAUGGUUGAAUUCCAGCUUUACCACAGAAGAAUUACUCACAUUUUGACCUCUGAGCUCCACACAUGUCGUGCACCAUGGCAUGUGUGCAUGUGUGUGUACACACAUGCCAAUAAUAAAUCUUUGUAAGAUUUGUUAAAGAAAUAAGUCACACAGACACAAACAGUUUUCCUUAUUUUAGAGGAACAAACAGUUAGCAAAUUUCUGAGACAGGGAGUAAACUCCUGGGAGGAAAUGCCAAAAGAAUAUAAGCAGACAAGUUGCCUAGGCGACAAACUACGUAGCUAAGUGACACGUGCGCGUGCUCUUCUUCCUCACGUGUGCUCUCGGUCUUAGAAGCAGGACCUGUACCACCACUCAGCACCCUCUGUGACCCAAGCCUCACUUUUAUUAAGCACACGGGACCUAUCUGUUCCCAACCCAUUACCAACCUUGUCCAUCCUGGUCACCUAUUUGGCGACGACGACUCUGGAGUCAGAGUCUGCUCUGGGAUCCUAGUUCUCCCCCUGUGCAUAUAUAUGGCUGCCUUGGGCAGGAUGCUGAACUCUGCAGGUUAAUGUAGCACAGUACUGGGAUGAGGACUAGAUAAGUUAAGAUGUAAAGUACUUAGCACAGUACCAGAGACAGAGAAAUCCCAGGAGGGAGGACUACCCUGGGCUACACCAGGAAAAAAGUCACUCCCUGAAGGCAAAUGGGAAGGAGCAAUGUCUUUGUUUGAGACUGGCUCAGAACCUUGAUUUACAGCAGCUGGUCUCUCCUAGUGACAGAAUGUUCUCCUCAGAAAUAACUCCAUGUAGAUGGUACCCGGGAGAAGAGCAAACAUGCUGAGUCUGCCGUUUCGGUGUCCAAGGGCACAGCAGGCAGACACACCUGCCGGCUUUCCAUGCACUAACUCCUGAUGGUUCACGAAGUUCAGAUUAACCCCUCCCCAUAACCCCAGCCUGGGAAGAGAGCCAAGGAAAAAGACCGACAAAGGUACUCUGGAAUUCCAAAUAAUGAAUGAAUGAGAGAGAGAGAGAGAGAGAGAGAGAGAGAGAGAGAGAGAGAGAGAGACCUUACUAGCAUUGCUCCCAGAAUCUUGUUGAAAACCAUCCCUGCACACACACACACACACACACACACACACACACACACACACACACACACACACAGAGAGAGAGAGAGAGAGAGAGAGAGAGAGAGAGAGAGAGAGCUACUUUUAGCCUUCCUUGGGCAUCCACCCAGUAAAAUUCUACAGUCCCCAGAUAGCAUUUCACUGAGCCUGAGGCCGGCCUUGGAAACAGCUCAAGACAGCAAACUACUGUUCUCUAAAGGUAUGAGGAAGAGUCAGGAUUCAUCUUCGAAAUGAAUGGCUGCUAUGUAAUUUCAGGGUCUCUUGGAUCCUUGGCUUGGGAGCAAGGCCAUGAAUAGCUAGGACCAUGAAUAGCUAAGACGUCAAACAUCUUUAUUACACCUGCUUCCCUACAGAAUGCCUUAGGAAGAAAAAAGUGUUUCAGGAAUAUUUGACUCUAGUAGAACUCCAGUGCUAUUCUGGUUCAGGAAACCGAGACAUAUUCCAAUACGACAAUAAAAAUGUAGCUCUCAGCCAUGAAUAUAGAAUUCCCCAAACCAUUGAGGUAGGCCCAGACUCUUGUCCUAAAAUGUGGAGAUUCUUUUUAACAGCAACCAUCCAGAUUUGUACAGUGGAAUAUUAUAACUCAUCAAACAUCCAUAAGUUAGCAUAUUAAUAGAAUUGUAAAACAGGAAAGAGGUGCCAUGCAUAAUGGUUAUAGCAGGGGCUCAUAUCCAUGCAGAUCUAACUUCCUGUUGUAGAGACAGCCGCGCGUGCUCGCGCGCGUGUGUGUGUGUGUGUGUGUGUGUGUGUGUGUGUGUCCCGGGGGGGAGGCGGGGAGGCCUUAGCUCACCGUGGUUGUGGUCGAUGCUAACAGGUGGUUCUAAAUUAUAUAAAGAAGCGAGCUAAGAGAAUUGGAGGAGUCUAACAGUCUCCGUAAUCUCUGCUUCAAGCUCCUGACUUGCCUUGAGCUCCUGCCUUAACUUUCCUCGUUGAUGGGCUAUGUCUUGUUAGGGUUUUAUUGCUGUGAAGAGACACCAUGACUACAACGACUUUUAUAAUAAAAGCAUUUAAUUAGAGCUGGCUUAAAGUUCAGAGAUUUGGUCCUUUAUGGUCAUGGCAGAAGCAUGGCGGCAUGCAGGUAGACACUGUGCUGUUGAAGUAGCUGAGAGUUCUUCAUUGGAGUGACCAGACAGCAGGACUCUCAGCCUGGCUUGAGCACUCAAAACCUCAAAGCCCACUCCCAGUGACAUAUCUACUUCAACAAGGCCACACCCACUCCAACGAGGCCACACCCACUCCAACGAGGCCACACCUCCUUGUUGUGCUCCUCCCUAUGGCAGCCAUUUGUAUUCAAGCCACCGCUUGUAAGAUGAAAUAACAGCUUUCCUACCUAUCAGUUUUUGCCAUUAUUUUAUCACAUGAAUAUAAAAAAAAAAAAAAAAAAAACGAACUAGGGCAAAGGGAUUCUAACUUUCUCCAUUCUUCUUCGAUUUGUUCUUGUAACCAUCUUCAAUAGCUGAACAAGUUGCCUGUUAGCCCGGUUACUAGGAGCUGCAAUAUUGAAAGGAACAAGCAAAAUGGCUGCAGAAUCCCUGCAGAUAGAUCCAGUGGGAUCAUUAAGAAACUGUUUCCCGGGGCUGGGGAUUUAGCUCAGUGGUAGAGCGCUUACCUAGGAAGCGCAAGGCCCUGGGUUCGGUCCCUAGCUCCGAAAAAAAAGAACCAAAAAAAAAAAAAAAAAAAGAAACUGUUUCCCACAAGCAGAUGUAAGAAGCAGGAAGGGUUUAGCUACAAGAAUUACAGCAAGAUUCUGAAGCUAAGGAAACAUGGAUCCUGAAGUCAGAUACUGUGUUUGGUCAUGAGGACACAACAACCAAUUAAGACAAUAAGGUAUCAUAUUAAGGUAAUAAAAUAAAUAUGUCACCUUGGAGUCCAGAAAGUAGAACCAACCAGUUACUUAGGAACUGUUGAUAUAAUAAGCAAAUACAAAGCCGGGUAGUGGUGUCAGACACUUUUAAUCCUGAAUCUCUGUGAGUUUGAGGCCAGUCUGGUCUAGAGAGCAAGUUCAAGGACAGCUGGGGUUACACAGAGAAACCCUGACUCAAAACAAAAGUCAAAACAAUAGUAACAGAAUAUCCAGGCUUAGUGGGAGUUCUGAGAAGGAGCAGAGAAACCUUGUCUGAAGGCAUAAGGAUACUUUUUUUAAAUUUAGCUACUAACACAGCUACUAAUAUUUCUACAUUCCUUAAUGGGUGUGCGUGCCCACGUGUGCCUGUGUGAGUGUCUGACCACACUGUGGAGACCAGAGGCUAACUUGUUGGUUCUCUCCUUCCUCCACGAGUCCCAGAGAUUGAACUCACCAAGCAUGGCAGUAGGCAUCUUUAUCAGCUAAACCAUAUUGCUAGGUUUUGAAAGAAGAGUUUGUAAAAAAUAAAUAAAUAAAUAAACAAACAAGCAUAGACUGGAAAGGGGAAUUGGGAUCCCCCAAUUCCAGGGGAUCUAACAUCUCUGGACUCCAAGGCUACCAGCAUCCCCAUGUGCAUGCUCCUAUACCCCCACACCCCCACACAUAUGCAAAAUUUAAAAUAAAAUUAGUCUCUUAAAAACAAAAAGAAAUAAAAUAAAAUAAAAACAAACAGGAGGACCAUGACCAUUUCCAGCCCUGGAAUAUAAGUCUGUCUACUUGGAGCUGCUGAAAUGAUGAGAAACCACUAAAGCAGAGCCUCCAAGCCCCGUGCUGUCUCUUAGGGGGUGCCGUUGGCCAUUCAAAACAAGUAGGGAAGAGGGAAUGUGGCCAUGGUGACCCUACUCUGACAGUAAAGGAGAUGACGCGCUGGUUGCCCAGUACACCAGAAACAUGAACCAAAACUGGCCAGUGUGGCAAAAGCUGUGUCAGGAAAGGAUGGGCUGGGAACUUCUGGUUUAUCACCUUCCAUGGGGCUUUCUAGAAACACACCCGCUACUCACCAAACAGAAAGAAGCACCAAUGGGCCCAGUCAUUUAUCUGGGGCCCCCUGCUAGGGCCCUCACCUCUCAUCAAGGUCUUCAGAGCAAGGCAUGAAUGCCAGAGAGACCUACCCAUGGUUUAUAACAGUCAUCCACAUUUUCCUCCCUCCCUCAGGCAGGCUGCCCCUGCCCCUGCCCCUGCCCCUGCCCCUGCCCCUGCCCCUGCCCCUGCCCCUGCCCCUGCCCCUGCCCCUGCCCCUGCCCCUGCCCCUGCCCCUGCCCCUGCCCCUGCCCCUGCCCCUGCCCCUGCCCCUCAGGGCCCUGCAACAGCCAUCCAGCCUCCUCUUUGUGAAAGCUACUUGUUUUCCUCCAGCCUCAACCAAGAACUCUCUGUCCUUAAUCCUCUGCUUGUUAAUUAUAUAUACAUUGCGUGUGUUCCUGUGUGUACCAGCUCAUGUCAUUUGCUUCAAUGAGAGAGCACGUGGAGCCUACCAGGACAGCAGUGCCAGAGGCACUGAGACAUCCCAAACCAGAGCAAGGGAUGCAGGGCAGAGGGUGGAUUCAAGUCCGCCAUCCCAAGGAGCUGAUGAGACAACAUGUGGUAGGUAGGGGUUUAAUGUUAGAGAUCCAGUGGGAGGCCAGGCAUACUCCAAGCGAUGAAAUGGGUUCCCUCCAUCUCUUCUCAUCUCAUACUUCCGAGGACCAUGGGAAGGGUCCCUGCAUCCCUACGGACAAGUACAGAAACAGAUCCACAGAGAACUGGUGGGGCUGGAGGUGGGGGGCUGGAUUCCGUUCCAGGAACAAGGAAGUACCACCAUCCAGGACUUCCUAGUUACCAGGCAGCGUAUCGCCCAGCCUCCAGAGGCAGUAAACACCACGUGCACACUGAGUUUCAAAUGCCCACGUGUUCGUUUUCCUCUUCGUGACAGAAUUCCUGACUUAAACAACCCGAAAGGAAAACUUAUUUUAAUUUCCGUUUCAUUGGUUGCAGACCAAAUUCAGCUGGAUACUUUGAGCUGAGGCUGAGGAGCACAAGCGCCACGGUGGAGGAAGGAUACCUUCUCUUCUGAUUCCUUCUCUGUUGGGUAUGCCAAAGUGAAAGAAGGACAAUAGAGCCAUCUGGUCUACCUGCCUCACGUACCUUGGACUCCUGCAUGAUUUGUGGCAAAGUCUUGGUCUAACUAGUUGAUGAACUAUAUGCACAGGUUUUGACACUGAAACUAAGAAGAGACUUGCUUAAGGUUUUGGCAAAAGAGUCUGGAAGUUCCAGAGGACCUGGUUUGAUUCCUGGAACCCACAUGGUGGCUCACAAACAUCUUUAUCUCCGAUUUGGGGGGAUCUGAUGCCCUCUCUGGCCUCCAUGGAAGCAGGUACACAAAAGCAGAAAAUAGAACCCUGGUCAAAUGGAACUCCAAAGUCUGUGGAAAGACUGACAAAAUAUCCCAGAUCCCUCCAGCAGAGAUGCUCCAAGAAGGCUGAGGCACAAACUGGUCAGACCCUUCACAAAGUCAUGUGUACAUAGCUAUGAAAAGUAUGGUGUCACUCAAGGUCACAAGCUCAAAUUGGUCGGAGUCUGGAAAGAGACAGAGUCAUUACCCCUUAUGGUUGCUUAGCAGGCUUGAGCCAGCAAAUUAGUGGCUUCCACUGAAGAUCUGCUGUACUGAUCGAUGCUCUACCCCAGUUAGCCCAUCUCACUUCUUGAUCACCAGCCUCAGAGAAAAAUGCCUGGCCUACCAGGACCUCAUGACCAUGAAUGUGUUACCUUUGAAACAAAUCAAAACAACCAAAGCAUUCCGAUGAGGAAAAUACUAACAAUCCACCUGCAACAAUAACGGGAGAGGGGAGAAUUCUUCUUUGGCCUUGAAAGGUCGGUAGGCAUGGGCUCUGGGCUCCCACACAGGCACUGACCCAUGAGCUCUAGUGUUUCUGAUCAUUAUUUUCCCUUGACUCAACCAUUCUUUGGCCCUCAAAGGGGAGUGUCAGACUGCUUAAAACUCCAGCAUUUGCUGUUUCAACCCUCCCGGAAAGGGCAAUGAAUCAAAUUACUGACAGCCAUUCUUUUUCCUGUGAGCUUGGCUUUGGCUGUAGGGGAAAUAUCUUAAGACUAGGGUAGAGAAAUAAAGAACAUAAGGCCAUGGUCAUGACCUUGUGUGCUCUACUUUUGUGACUGCCAUCCCCACCCCAAGUCCUAGCUUAGAAAGACAUGGGCCAAAAGUAACAAGGAACAUAAGGGCACCGUUUGAAACCUGACCUACAUUUUUUUUAAUUGAGAUAGGAUUUCACUCUAAGCCUGGAUGGCCUAGAACUCAGUUUGUAGACCAGGCUGGACUGCAACUCACAGAGAUCCCCCUGCCUCUGCCUCCUGAACACUGAGAUUAAAGGUGUGUGACAACACAGGUGUUUCUUGAUUAAACAAAUCAGAAUUUGUUACUGAGCCUUUAUCUCCAGCACUUGGAAAGCAGACGCAGGUGCAUCUCUGUAAGUUCACGACCAGUCCGGUCUACAUGGAGAGUGUGUAAUCAGUCCACAGAUGGAAAGUUCCAGCUCCCCCUGACCACAUUCCGCACUGUCUUACACACACCACCAAUACCAACACCAACAACAUCAAAAACCACCAUCACCACCAUCACCACCAC